GACGAACCGUGCGAACGUUGUUCGGAUUCACUGGGCUUAAAGGGCGCGUAGGCGGACAAUCAAGUCAGGGGUGAAAGCCUCCAGCUCAACUGGAGAAGUGCCUUUGAUACUGGCUGUCUCGAGGGAGGUAGGGGCAUGUGGAACUUCCGGUGGAGCGGUGAAAUGCGUAGAUAUCGGGAGGAACGCCGGUGGCGAAAGCGACGUGCUGGACCUCUUCUGACGCUGAGGCGCGAAAGCGAGGGGAGCAAACGGG
rnacentral:rRNA from 1 species